GAGAAAAUAGGAGGUGGCGUUUUGGCUCAUAGGAGCAAAUGCUCCUAUUAUACAAAAUAAUUAAAAAACAAUUUUAAAAAUGUCAAAAAAUUCUGACAUAAAUUUUUUGUUGUACAUCGUGACAUUCUAUGUUAGUGCACAAGUUUUCAUGGAGAAACAA